AGGUCAAAGGAGGGGUGUGGUUCGGAGGUUAGGAGAGAUGCCUGGGAAAUAAGUAAAUUAUCAGUGAAUGAAUGAGGGGAUUGCUUUGGUCCUGAUAAUAAAUUAAGCAGAUCACCUUUCUCAUCUAUUUUCCUGAUGUCUUCAGGGAUUUUCGCUGAAUGAAUCCUAGUAUUAUUUUAUUCAAAUGAGAACUUUGCUGUCCUUGAUAAUCCAAGGCAAAGUUAGAGACUUUUGGGACCAUGAGAUCUUCUGGAAUAAGUGUUGAGGCAAAUGAUUGCAGAUGACCAACAUAGGCAGUUUAGCUGUCUGCACACAGAUGGGGUAGAGGGAGACGCCAACUGGAGUUAGGUUGUUAGGUUGUCAGCUGUCUUCCUGUUUAACUCUGACAGUGUCUCAUGGGACAAUUUUGGAAACACAUAAACUGAAGUUCUAGUUUAAUAGCAGAGACGUUGAGUCAGACCAAGCCUUUGCAUGCCUCUUGUGAAUCCCACAGAACCCUCUUUUUCUCUUUCACUUGAAUCAGUGGAGGUGGGGGCAGAGGACCAUCUGCUGAGCACUUAGGGUUCUAUGAGGCACCUACCCUUAACAUUUUCUUAGGUAAUUUCCAAGCCGCUGUGUGACAUAGUUAUCAUUACGCCAGGUUGGCAAAUGAGGAAAUGGAAGCCAAGAGAGUGAAACAACUUGCUAGGCCACACAGCAUGUCCUCACCUGGUAGGGCUCCAAGAUGGGGCCUCCGACCCCAUGCCCUCUCUUUUGUACAUGCUCUACUUUCUGGGUGAUGGUCCAUGGCCAAAGUGUUGUCUUUGUUUUAAUAACAUGUGAUGAAAUUGGGUAAUGAAAAGAAGAGAUUUAGAUCUCUAUAAACAAUUCCAAGUGAUAAAAACCCUAUUUCUUGGAGGUGGUCAAAUGGCAGAAGAAGUUCUGCAAGUGGAAGAAACUCAGAAAGGCAUUAAAGGGGAGAUUACCAUUUUGUGACUUGAUCUGCCUCUUUUCUCUCUUACUUCCCCUUCUCCAUAUUCAUGUGCUGUUGUCCAAACCCCUUACUGUUCACGAUUGCACUACCACUAAAAUAUAACAGUUUAGCUGAUCUGCAUGUGCUUUUUCCCAUGUCUGGGGUACUACAUCAGGCUUAUUACAGUCAUUAAUCAAGUCCUUGCACUAAUUAUAAACAGAAGUAAAAGUUGUAAAUUCCACAGAGAAAAAACGUUGUAGCAAAAAAUGAGAACAAAUCAAUAUUCUUUUUUUUUUAGAUUUAUUUAUUUUAGAGAGAAAAAGAGAGUGCAAGUGGGGGGAGGGGCAGAUAAAGAGGAAUACAAGCAGACUCCCUGCUGAAUGGGGAGCCAAACACAGAACUUGAUCCCAGGACACCGGGUUCAUGAACUGAGCCAAAAUCAUGAUUCUAACACUUAACCAACUGAGCCACCCAGGUGCCCCAAAAAUCGAUAUUGUCUAUAGAAAAGAAUUAUUGCUAAUUAAUAAGGAAAAGAUGAACAUCCCAACUGAAAAAUGGUUAAAGGCUAUGAACACAUUAAACUCAUAAAAAAGCAUACAUAGAAGAAAUAGAAUUAGCACUCUUGCAUAAAGCAGUAAAUGAAAGUAUAGUGCCCUGCUCAACAACAUGGCUUUCGGGCCAGAUAUACCUGGAAUGAAUUCUGGGUUUGCUAUUUACUAGCUUCAUAUCUUUUAGCAAAUUACUAAGUCUUUGUUUCUACCUGUGAAAUAAGGAUAAUAGUAGUACUUAUCUGGAGGGGCUAUCAUGAGGUUUAAAAAGAUAAUUCUGUAAAGUGUUUAGUACAGUGCCUGAUGCAUAAUACACUUUCAAUGCAUGUUAACUAUUAUCACUACUAGUAGUAUAUGUGCAUUGAUAACAAGUAAGAUUAAUAUUGAAUGUCUCACUGAAAUCAAAGAAAUGCAAUUUAACAAAAGUGCAAUAUUGUUACCUGUCAGAUUGGAAAAAACAUGUGAGAGAAUUGAUGAUACCCACUGUUGGUGAGGUGUGGAGGAACAGGUUCUCUCUUGCAUUGCUGGGGCAAUGGGAUGUGGCACAUUAUUUCCACAGGGCAAUUUGGCAGUAUGCAUUAACACUGAAAAUGUGAUAGGUUUAGAGAAGUGUCUGUUCAUGUCUUCUGCCCAUUUUUUGACAUGAGUGUUUUUUGUUGAGUGUUGAGUUUCACUUACUUGUGGAGCAUAAGGAAUAACACAGAGGACACUGGGAGGAGAGAAGUGCGAUAGGGAAAAUUGGAGGGGGAGAUGAAGCAUGAGAGACUGUGGACUCUGAGAAACAAACCGAGGGUUUUGGGGGUGUGGGAUGUUGGGUGAGCCUGGUGGUGGGUAUUAAGAGGGCACGUAUUGUAUGGAGCACUGGGUGUGGUGCAUAAACAAUGAAUCUUGGAACACUGAAAAAAUAAAUUCAAAUUAAAAAAAAUAUUUCAUAGCAAAAAAAAAAAAAAGAAAAAGAAAAGAAAAUGCAAUAGGUUUUGGCUCAUAUCCUAGAACUUUAUCCCAGAGAGAUAAUUGGGCAAGUAUACGGUGAUGAAUGUUUAAGAAUGCUUAUACUAGUAUUCUUUUUAAAAUAAGAUUUUAUUUAUUGGUUUGAAAGAGAAAGAGAGAGAGAGCACGAGUGGGGGUGAGAGGCAGAGGGAGAAAAGGAUGAGUAGACUCCCCGCUGAGCAGGGAGCUAGCUCUGGGGCUCAGUCUCAGGACCCUGAGAUCAUGACAUGAGCCAAAGGCAGAUGCCUAACAGACUGAGCCAUCCAGGCACCCUGGUAGCAGAACCCUGGGGUUCUACCCUGGUAACAACCCAGAAGCAGCCAUAAGUAGAUCAGAUCAACACAAUGUACACUUUAAACUUAUACAAUGCUAUAUGUCAAUUAUAUCUCAAUAAUAAAUUCAGAAGUAACUUAAAUGUCCUUUAGGGAAAUUUAUCAAUAAAUUAAGCUUCAUCUCUAUGAUGGAAUACUAUAUGAUUACCAAUAGCAGUGUUCUAGAUCUUUAUAGAAUAGUAAUUAUGGAUGAGGAUUUCUGACAUACCAGUAUAUAAGAAAGUAUGUUUCAAAAAAAUCUAUCUGUACAAUGUUUAUGUCUAUCCAUCUGAUAGUUCAGAAAAAGAAACAGGUGUGGAAAGAUGUACUUUAAAAUGCUGGCAUUCUUUUCCUCUUGGGAACUAAUUUUAUUAUUUGAUUUUUGUGUGAGUGUCCAUUAUCUUUUUAAUCAGGAAAAAGAAAAGGAAUGGACUUUUUGUUUUGUUUUGUCCUUUAGCAGCAUACCCUAAACAGAGAUCUACAUGUUGAUUUUGCUUGUGUAAAUGGACUUGGAGUUGUGUUCCAAGAACACAUCAUCAUAGCUUUCUUUCUUUUCUUUUUUCCUUGUUUGUCAUUCAGAAGUGUUUCUUCAUUCCUUAGUCUAUGACUCAUGCAAGAAGAUAUUAGAACCAAUGUUUUGCAAGACCUUUCCAUGAAAUGGAAAGAACAUCAAUGUUCUCUCCAGUAACAGGCGUGCACUUAAUUUUGCCUUUCUUCAUUAAUAAUGAUGAGGUUGCAUGGCUUUCCCACCACUCCGCAGAGGUGGAGUGAACCCGAAAGAACUGGUCAGCACUAGACCUUCAGGUGCUAUCGAAUACUAGCCCUAGGGCCAGUGACGUGCAACAGAAAAAACACGAAAUUUCCUUUGCUUGUGUUGGUUAGAAUCAUUGUGGUAGGAGUCCUGAGGCAUCACCUGGACUGCGUCACCUGGACUGGAUCACGUAGCUGGACACAUAUUGGAGCUGGAAGGAUGCCACAUAAGAAGGAGAAGGGGAAAAAAAGAGGAGUAAGAGAAGAAGAAGAAAGAAGAAAGAUGGAAGAAGAAGAAGAAAGAAAAAGAGAGAGAAAAGUUUGCCCAAUGGACUCAGUAACUCCAUUUCUUGACCCUCUGGAUGUUCCUCUUGCUGUCUGUUAUACCAGUGCAUAGCCUGGGGUAUGAGUAAAUACUGAGAAAUGAACUUGCAGGUAAUAUACACAAUGGGCUACAAAUAAAAGAGCAAAUUGAGGUUCAAUGGCUAAAGAGUGGUUUCAAGAGUUGGAAAAGGGACAGGCCUGUGCUGAGCCCUCUUCAUUUGGAGUUCCAGUGACUUUCAGAGUUCUGAACUCCAGGAAAGGAUACUUCUUGGCCAAGUUACAGUACAAUGUGAUUUAGUACUGCAAAAGCAGAGGGUUCUGAGGAGAAGCCCAGGCAAAAAAUGAUUAAUAGUCCAUUGAUAUGAAUCUCCACUUGUGCUUGAUUUGACCUUUCAAGAUUUCUGGAUUUAAGAAUGAAGAAAUUUAGAUCAGAGAGCCAACUGGAUGAAAGAAUUUUGCUGCUUGAAGGGCUGCGAAGGGCUGAGAGAUUACGUCCUGCAUAGCAUAGGAGAGGACUAGAAAAAGAUGGGGGGCCUUUGAGGCCUAUCUUGGAGGCUGCUAUCACAGGAAGAUGUUGCUGCAGCAGAGGUCGAAGAGGUUGCUGCCUGUGUUCUCCUCAAGGAUUUUGAUGGAUUCCUUUCGCACAUUGAGGUCCUUCAUCCAUUUGGAGUCUAUUUUUGUGUGUGGUGUAAGGAAAUGGUCCAAUUUCAUUUUUCUGCAUGUGGCUGUCCAAUUUUCCCAGCACCAUUUAUUGAAGAGGCUGUCUUUUUUCCAUUGGACAUUCUUUCCUGCUUUGUCGAAGAUUAGUUGACCAUAGAGUUGAGGGUCUAUUUCUGGGCUCUCUAUUCUGUUCCAUUGAUCUAUGUGUCUGUUUUUGUGCCAGUACCAUGCUGUCUUGAUGAUGACAGCUUUGUAAUAGAGCUUGAAGUCCGGAAUUGUGAUGCCAAAACUUAAAACAAAUUUAAUGUGACAUGUACUGUCAUACCUAAUAGUUAUUAUGCUUAGGAUAGUUAUCCACGAGAGACAAUCAAUUCUCACAUGAGACUACAAUUAAUAUGUACAUAUUAGAGUGCAAAAUUAAGUUCUUUUCUUCCCUUUACUGUCUUAUGUCAACAGAAGAAAGAAUAAUUUUUCCCUGAUGCCCUCUAUCCUAUAUUAUAUAACCACAGUUUCUCUCUCACAGACACACUAACUACAGAGUCAUUAAAGCCCAAAAACCAGGUUCUGACUUUGUUCCCUGUUGGUGGUGGCUAGCUCUGCUUCCCACUCCCCCUUUCUUAUGUUCUCCUGUCCUUGAUUUAGGUCUUGGCUUCUCUUAGUCCAUCUGGUUGUAUGGGCUUUGGAGGAGAGGAGACUGUUUAUGAUUUAUUUGUAAAUUACCAAUUGCAUAUGGCAUGUUGGGUAGGAAGAUAGACCAGAAGACCUCAAGGGACAGGUUUGAAUUUCGUCUGCUCCUGCAGAAGUAUCCUCGGAGGUGAAGAAGACGUUCUCACAAAUCUCUGCCCUAACUGGCCUCCACUAGUGUUUCAACUCCUCUUGGUAGAGUAACAGAACCCAUCAAUUGCAUUAAAAGUGCAAACUCUUCAGGGAGAAGCCUCCCACUCAGAGCCUGUAAGUUGACAUCUUUGUGGUUUUGCAGCUCUGUGAAGAGACACACUUCAGCUCUUCCUAAUAAGUUCACUUGAAGAUGAAGGGAAGAUUUGAAUCUGGGUCUUUUCUUUUGGUUGCCUAUCAGAAGACAGUCAAGAGCAAGGUAGAAAAAUCUUCACUAAGUUUUAUCAUGAUUUUAGAACACACUCAGAACACAGUACCUCACAGUCUAUAAUCUCCUGAGAGCUGCUAUUUGUUGGAUCAGGUUUGGGUUAUUUUGUAGCAAAUUAGAGAACUAAAAAUUCUAGUACUUACAGAGAUUAUAGAAAAAGUCAAUGAUCCAGAUUCUCCCUAUUGCCCGAGUCACUUCCCCACUGUUGGAAUCUCAGAAAAUCACUCCACUCAUGGGAGAGCAUGGUUGGCUAAUAGUGGACUAUAGAGUGAGUAAGAGCAUAAAGUCUCUUAUCAGCAACAUUAAUAUGCCCCUUCUGUGUAUAUUAGAGGAAGAGGGGCCAAAACGAAGAAUAAACUCUCUCUUCUUUCAGGGUUUACUGUUUAGCUGGCAAAAUAAGACCUAAACAUAGAGGUAAAUUUCAGGAAAGUACAUGGAAAGUACAUGGUCAGGGUCCAAGAAGAAGGAGCAGAAGGUACAGAUACAACUGUUCAGAGGAAAGUCUUCCCAAGAAGGUGGCAAUGGGUUAGGCUUCAGGUCCAAGCAGAGAGAGAGGACAGCGCUCUGGAUAGGGAAACAGUACAAUUGCAGGGGUGGGGAACUGAGAAGAUGGGUUUGGCUGAAAUCAAAGAUUUACGGAGAGAGAAGUGUAAAUAUGUCUAAGGGCCAUGUCAUGCAAGGCAAAAGAAAAAUGUGUGUCAUUGCUUUGAGAGUGACUUAUAGUGGGGAUGCUGACAAGGGGGCCUAACAGGAGACUACAAGACCAAUAUUCCAGUAUGCUGCAGGCUGGGCUAGGGAGGAGGCCACUGGAUGGAGAGGGAGGGACAGAGACGGAGGACAUGGAUGAAGGAAGGACUAAUGGGACAUGGAAAAGGAGGAAUCAAAAGUAGCCUUAAGGUUCUUGGCCUGGAGACUUGAAAAAACAAAGAAAAAUGGGAAAACAGAUGGGGAGAGAUGUUUGGGUGAAAAGAUGGUGAUUCUGAGUAAAUAAACAAUGAGGCAUGACAGGCAGCAUCCAGUUAGAGAAGCUCAGUGAAGUACAACUGAUUUCCCUCAUAAAUAUCCAUUGUCCUGUCUCUUCUCCCCAUCUGCUCAGGAUUUGGUUUCCCUCUGGAUUCACCACCUGGCUUGACCCAGCUGCACAAGUGAUCUAAGAUAUGCACUAGAGAAGUCACCAGUGUGAGUAAACCCACCAGUGGAGCUCACAAUCUAUACCAACAAGUGCAGAGUCCUCAUUGCGUCUGACAAGACCCUACCCGGGCCAGUCUUUUAGGGCUCCUCUCUACUCCUCCCUGCAUCCAAUAUGGGACUGCAGCAACAUCAAACUGCUCUUGGUUUUCUGUGUACAUUGACUGGACUGCUUCAGCUGCCUCCCUUACACUGGAGCCCUACUCCCUUCCUACUAUUUGUUUGAGGCUUCAUUCACCCCAGGCCUCCUCUCAAUAAGCUGGGUUUCCCUCAUCCCUCCAGGCUGGCUCAUGCUUCCCUUUUCUGUUUGCUCCUGGCAGCCUGUGGAUCUUUAUCCGUCACCAGUCACACUGUCCUUAAUGUUUACAUAUCCUGACACCCUGUUCAGACUGGGAACUCAUAAGGAAUGAGGCUCAUUCCUCCUUAUACCCCCAAUCCCAGGGGCAUAUCCCUGCCAGAAUAGGGGCCCAUUACAUGAUCAGUGAAUAGGGAGCUGCAGGACCAAAGCAGGAGUGAGAGAACAUGUAGAUGGGGCAGCUGUUGGACGAUGUGUGCACCCUGUUUCUCAAGGAGAAAAGGAGAUGGUGAGGAAUAAAUUUGGGGGCAGAAUAUCAGAGUAUGGAGUAAGAUAUGAAGCCACUGAAGGUAAAAGCCAAGUGAGAUGGAAGAGGGAGUUCAAAGAAGGAGGUACAGUCUGCAAUGGGUUUUGCUGGAGAAGCCAAGCAGUGCAGGGAAGCAAAGCCAGGUAAGAGUCAGUGUUCUGUGCCCUCAAAGCUUACAGUAUAUUAAGGUGGAUUAUAUAGGAACAUAAUCAGCCCCUCAGAAGAAGGCAGAAUAAAACUGAACACUAUUGGGUAGCUUUACCCAAACUGUUAUGUUAUUUGAUGUUAAUAGAUGUUCUAUUUAAAAAAGAUUUCUUGGGGGUACCUGGGUUGCUCAGCUGGUUAAGCAACUGCCUAUGGCUCAGAUCAUAAUCCUGGAGUCCUAGAAUUGAGUCCAUCAUUGGGCACCCUGUUCAGCGGAGAGUCUGCUUCUCCUACUGACCUCCCCCCCUCUCAUGCUCUCUCUCUCUUUCAGAUAAAUAAAGAAAAUCUUUUAAGAAAAUAGUUCUUUCAUCAAAAAUAGUUUGACAAUGCUGGGUUUGUUCCUGCAGACUUUUCAGAACUUUUGUGUGCUAAUGUGCUAAUGUGCACAAGAAGAUAGACCUUACAGGGAUUUUGAAGCCUUUCUGUGAAUGGGUCCUUUAAAGGAAGUGAGUUGAGAAACACUUGGAGAUGACUCAAGGAUAUCUGUCCUUCUUCAAAUAUUGUUUGGGAAAUGCUAGAGAGGAAGGAAUUCUAAAGGGGUGACACACUUUGGUUUGGAGGUUAAAAGCCUUCCUUCCUUUCACAUGCUUGCCUGUUUAGUGAAUGGCACUGAUGUCUUGCACUAGGUUUUGACCUCUCAGUGCCUGAUCCAGUUCUGGACAUGGCAGGAGAAUAUGUGUAAACUCAGAACCACUGGGGAAACCCAGAGGCUGAUAUGUCACUGAAGCCUGGGGUGGCUUCCUCUAGAGCCCAGCUCUGUGUGCCCAGCAGGCACAUGUCAUCUUGGACCAGGACUCUUGUUUUGAUAAAUGUAAGUGGGUUGUCAGCCACAUCCUUUGCUUGCAUGCAUUCCCAUUUCUCUGCUAACUGGUAGGUUCAGGGCCAUGUUGUGUUAGAUUGUCCUGUCCUUUUGCCACAGCUAAGCAGACCAAGUGUGGACACCUCAUUUAAACUGAGUCACUGUGUUUAGCCUUGGGACUUUGAAGAAGCAGCCUGGGGUCUUCAUCAGACAGUGUUGGCAAGGUUGCCAAAAGAAGAGCAAAGCUAAGCCCAGAUGGCACAGCAUCAAGGACCUGGGGGAGCUGCUGUUGUAGGUACAUGGAAACGAGGAGUCCAGUCCCAAGAAGAACUAUCUUCAUGCCCAAAUGAGGAGAACCAAGGUGAUUGAGAAAUAACCCAGCCCAGACUUCAAGGCGGGAGAUGAAGACUUUGAGUGACUUUGAAUUGUUUCAAGGAAGAUUUUGACACUGGAUUCCUAAAUUCCUGUUAUGUUUCCCACUUGAGAUGCCAUUUCUGCAAGCUGUCUUGUCUAUCUAGCCACUUUGGAAUCUUUGAAUGGGAGCCACCCUAAAGAUUACAAUAAAAAAUGAAAUCAAUAAAGAA